UCCCAUGUAGCUUAGUCGGUAAAGAAUCUGCCUGAAAUGCUGGAGACCUGGGUUCGAUUCCUGGGUUGGGAA
rnacentral:tRNA from 1 species